CCAGUUUAAUAGAGAGGCACUCACCUCAGCAAGGGCAGCUGUGCCCACACCACCUCUCAGUGCUGUAUUUAUGACAGCAGGAGACAAGAAAGCAUAAUUCACAGAAAGCAGGGAGAUCUGGUUGCAGCUGCAGAGCAGUUGCUCACAAACAAGUUUCUUGCUACGUGCAGAAGCAAGAGGAUGCCAAAGGGAGCAGAUCAAUGACUUAAGAAUUAAGCCCAGCAGAUGGCUGGAAGCCUGCAGCAUUGUUCGGAGAUGCAGGGCAUGCACACCUCACUUCCAACACCAUGUGUCACCACCUCGAUGGUGGGAAGUUGAGUUCUACGAUGGCUGCAAUUGCUCGUGACAGGGACUACAGAAAACAGAUGUUUGUAAGCUUGCAGGAAUCACUAGCACAAUUCCUCUCUGAAAAAAGGCCUAUUUCUUUUCAAUCACCCAAACUCUGUACAGGCUGAAGCUGCAUAGGCAAAUAUGAUACUUCAGAUGCCAUUAAAGGAAUCACACUAUACAAAGGAGGGAUUUCAUAUUCCAUGAAAAUAAAAUUGGGAGCAGAGCAUAACCAUAAUGCAUGAAACGUGAAGAUAUUUAUUCUGGGAAAUUAUUUAUGACUCCCUUUAUUUUGCAGAUACAUGAGCUUGCAGAGGUACCUAUGACACACUACUCCAGAAGAGAUUUUCACUUGUCUGAAUGGUUUUUUUCCAUUGGAAAGAUGAACUGAAUCUUUGGGCAAACCACCUCUUUCUUUCAUCCCUAUCUGCAACCAGUGGCUGUGUUUCCCUUUUCUAACUCCCACAGGGAAGUACUUCAAUCACUGUGUGCACUGAGUCUUUUUUUUUGUUGCUUUAAAAUUCAUUACAUUAUUCAUGUCGCCUGGUUUGAGAAACAUACAAACCAUGAGGGCAUCAAACAGCAACCAGGCAUCCAAGUAACAGCAGGGAACUUCCUAAGAUACUCAAAGCUUUUUACCUCUCCUUUCACCUUUCUGCAAAGUCUGCCUCAUUGGUGGUCCUUCUCCAGUGAUGCUUUCCCAGUUGUCAGCCAUUAGGGGAUGACAAUCAUAGUUCAACUUAGCACCCACCUGAAAUGAAAAAACAAAGCUUUACUGCCUGUUAGCUGUUACAGAAGCAAAGAUGAUGACAGUGAUCACAUUCACAUCUUCACCACCACCUGCUUUACUGGCAAGUCAAAAUAGCAAGAAGAUCCAUUAUUUAUGAGCUACAGAAU
ensembl:lncRNA